rnacentral:rRNA from 1 species
UACAGAGGUCUCAAGCGUUGUUCGGAUUCAUUGGGCGUAAAGGGUGCGUAGGCGGCGCGGUAAGUCGGGUGUGAAAUCUCGGGGCUUAACUCCGAAACUGCAUUCGAUACUGCCGUGCUUUGAGGACUGGAGAGGAGACUGGAAUUUACGGUGUAGCAGUGAAAUGCGUAGAGAUCGUAAGGAAAGCCAGUGGCGAAGGCGGGUCUCUGGACAGUUCCUGACACUGGAGGCACGAAGGCCAGGGGAGCAAACGGG